AUCGAGGGCUGAAACACCUGGUGCUACAGUGUACUGUGUGGCUUAGCCAGGAUGCUCAGUGCAUGAAGUUCAGUCAAUGCAUUUUGGACUUAUGGUGUUUCUGAACCUACCAUUCAUUGGUUAUUAUUGGGACAGAACCUCAUUGUUAGUAGAGGACCAUCUGUGUAAGACGCCUAAGAAAGAGCUUGUCCAAAUUCUGUGGCCCUAAUCCCUCUCCACUGUGUUGCCCAUUCCCAAAGUUUGGAUUGAGGUGUGGAUCGUUCCCUGCACCCAGUCAUGGGUUCUGCAUAUCAGGGCAGAUGUAACAUAGCCAAAGGGAGGGAGAGCACUGGUCACCAGGGCUGAGCUUCUGCCUGACUAGCAAUUAUAAGUAGAAAUACCAGGCAGACUCUUUCUUUUUCCAGUUGCUACAGCUGUUGGUUUUCUUGCCCUGUCCAGAUUAGGUCUUUUUUAAUACUGUUUAAGUAUACUGACCCCACACAUUAACCAUAGACCCUGGAGUUCUCUGGAGGUGAUAGUGUAUGUAUAGUCUAAUAUUCUUUCUCCCUGGUGUAGUAGUUUUGUGAAGUGUUAUGUACAGGUUGGCCUUAAAGUGUGACCCCCUCACACACAAACUGUGUCCCCCAAGUAGCUAGGAUUACACGUUUAGGCUACAAUGCCUGGCUGACCUAGCUUCUAUACAAAACUUGUAUCAUUUGUUAAAUGAUAAAAUGCCUAAUACAACAGUUUUUAUAGAGCUAGAAAAUAAAUUUCUAAGAAAGAUUUUACAAUUUCAACCUCUAGUUAGGGUUAACUCACUCUUUAAAAAGCAGGACAUCUAACCAGGUGCUGGUGGCUCAUGCCUGUUAUCACAACUCGAAGUGGUAGGGUGUUAGCCUUGAGCAAAAAAGCUCAGGGACAGUGCCCAGGCCUGGAGUUCAAGCCCUACAGCCGACAUAAACAACAACAACAAUAAAAAGCAGGACACCUGAGAAUGCAGGAGGUGUGAAAGCCAUUCAGUCUGUGAAGCAUACAAAUAAUUCCUUGAAACACCAAAAAUAAUCCAGGAGUGUCAGAAACAGGCUACAACCAAAUGAAUGAAAAAUUCCAAAAUAAAGACAUCAAGAGUACACAAACUUACAAAGCAUUUUGGGAAUCAAUAGGGAGAAAAUAUAAGCUGUGGUUUCUUCAAUUAAAAUGAUCCACUUUAACAGCUAAAUUUUCAGAGAACUAAUCUAAAAAUAUUAAGUACAGAAAACAAUAGAGACUUAAGGAGAAAAAUACUAUUUUCAGACAAAAUGAAAGUGCUUGGCAUGGUUUCUCAAGCUUGUAAUUCUAGCUAGCUGGGAGGAAGAAACUGAGGGGUUGAGGUUUAAGGCUAGCCAAGAUUUUUUAAUAAACUUUCACAAGUGACACCGGAAGCACAAGCAAGAAAAUGGCCUGAACUCGGAAUCUACCUCAAAAAUUACCAAUGCAAAAAGAGCCUGGAGGUGUGGCUUAUGUGGCGGUAGAGCUCCUGCCUAGCAAGUGUGAGGUCUGAACUCAAUCCCCAGUAUUGCCCUGCUGUCAAAAGUAGGAAAUACAAAUUAAUGAGACUGCAUUACGUUAAAUCAACUCUGUAUAGUUAAUUAUAACUUCUUAAAUCUACUUAAGCCAAAAGAUAUACAAUAAUGUUUUAACAUGUCAAGUGUAAUGUGCUGCCUUCUAUACAGAGGUCUUACCCAGACUCACAACAGAAUCACUGGGUAGGUGGGUGGGGUUGGAAAAGUGCUCCUUGGGCUGCUUAACACCUGAGCUUUGUGGCCCCUUGCCCACGUGACUCCAAGGACCCCCAUCCAGAGGCAUUGUGUUUGGUACCUAUCACUGAUAGAACAUAGUGAGUACUGAAACAGGAUAGAUUACAGCAACAUAGAUCUUCUUCAAAUCAGAAGGAUUAUUAAAACUCCAAAUAAUAAUUACAGGUAAGUAACAGAAUGAAGUAAGUAGGGAGAUGGACAGCUCAGGACCUUCAUGAGUUGAGGCCAGAGCUGGUCAAAAGCAACAAGAUCAACUUCUUUCCUCAUCAGAAACAAGCUCAAGUUCAUACAGAUAGCACCAAACGUGGGAAUAGUUUAAUAGCUAGCUUAAAUCAGUUACAUUUGCAAUUUUUCAUCAUUAAUGUCAUUCAGGGAAGCAAAGAUGUCCAUCUGCUCCUUUAGGAUGAACUACCCAUUCAUUAAUAAAUCUUUCCAAUUUAUUAUUAUUAUUAUUAUUAUUACUUAUCAAAAAGCAAGGGGAUAAAUCCCUGCAACCAAUGAUCUUGUGGUAUCUCAUAGUAACACAGCCAUGGGUGGUCAGCCUCAGCCACCUACUGGUGGCACUUGACAUUUCAAUGUCUACUUUGUAAGAUGAAAACCCAAGGUCUGCUGAGCUUCCUUGGUGGCCCAAGCAGGAGAUACUGUGCCAGGCUCAGAUCACAUUAAGGCCCCAAAGCCUACAAACACACUCUUAUCACAGUUUGUUUUCUUUUGGUUAGAACUUAUUUAACUCCUGGGUAAGUGAGCUUGAUGAGGAAAGGGUUAGCACUGACCAGCACUGAUCACAGCUUUCAGGAUACAGGUCUGAGCUUUCUAUCUCCCCAUUUCAAUCCAUUACCUCUUGUUCUUAAGCUUAUUAUAUCUUAAGGGCUCCAAGGGCUCCAAAACAGAGUCCUCUUGUUACACUGACCAUCGAUCUAGGUGGAUGGGCUUUCCAGGCACCAGACUCCUAAGUCUGGUGUCCUGGGCAGUCAUGACUUGUUUCAUCUCCUGAAUGGGGAAGUGUGGGAAGAAACAACCUCUAUCCAUCAGGCCUAAGACAGCACCCUCUAAGUCUUACACUCCUAUCUCCCUAUCU